AUACGGAGGGCGCAAGCGUUGUUCGGAAUUACUGGGCGUAAAGCGCGUGUAGGCGGUCUGGAAAGUCGGGUGUGAAAGCCCCGGGCCUAACCCGGGAAUUGCAUCCGAAACUUCCAAACUGGAGUCCUGGAGAGGAAGGCAGAAUUCCCAGUGUAGGGGUGAAAUCCGUAGAUAUUGGGAGGAAUACCAGUGGCGAAGGCGGCCUUCUGGACGGUGACUGACGCUGAGACGCGAAAGCGUGGGGAGCAAACAGGAUUAGAUACCCCGGUAGUCC
rnacentral:rRNA from 1 species